GAUGAACGCUGGCGGCGUGCCUAAUACAUGUAAGUCGAGCGAACGGACGAGAAGCUUGCUUCUCUGAUGUUAGCGGCGGACGGGUGAGUAACACGUGGAUAACCUACCUAUAAGACUGGGAUAACUUCGGGAAACCGGAGCUAAUACCGGAUAAUAUUUUGAACCGCAUGGUUCAAAAGUGAAAGACGGUCUUGCUGUCACUUAUAGAUGGGUCCGCGCUGCAUUAGCUAGUUGGUAAGGUAACGGCUUACCAAGGCAACGAUGCAUAGCCGACCUGAGAGGGUGAUCGGCCACACUGGAACUGAGACACGGUCCAGACUCCUACGGGAGGCAGCAGUAGGGAAUCUUCCGCAAUGGGCGAAAGCCUGACGGAGCAACGCCGCGUGAGUGAUGAAGGUCUUCGGAUCGUAAAACUCUGUUAUUAGGGAAGAACAUAUGUGUAAGUAACUGUGCACAUCUUGACGGUACCUAAUCAGAAAGCCACGGCUAACUACGUG
rnacentral:rRNA from 1 species